rnacentral:snRNA from 1 species
AGAUGUGAGGGUGAUCUGGCUGUGACAUCUGUCACCCCAUUGGUUGCCAGGGUUGAUACACUGAUCUGGCUGGCUAGUCAGGUGUCUCCUUCCCCCAUCAAUGCUCCUUGUAUAUCCCUCGCAAAGCUGCCUGCUUGGUCGAAGAGGACAACCACCCCUCAUAGAGGAGGACCCUUCCUUGGUCAACAGUAUACAAGUAGUUGUGCACCCCUGCUAGAACCUCAAAACAAACUCUCCAGAUUAUGGUACCAUGUCACAUAGUAUGAAAUAAGCACUUCUACACGGAGUCAUAGUCU